rnacentral:tRNA from 1 species
ACCCUAGUGGCUCAGUUGGUAAAGGAUCUGCCUGCAAUGCAGAAGACCUGGGUUCUAUCCCUGGGUGGGGAA